UGACACCAAUUUUUGCCACUAUAUGGCGUCAUCAUAUCACCAUCCAUGGUGAUGGCGCCAAGACCAACUUCUUUGGUCGCGCCAUGUCCUUUUGUAGGACAUCAAUCCUUGUAGACAUAUUUGCAGCAUGUGAUCUCGUCACUUUAACACUUUAAGCAUUUGAGAUCAAGAUGAGACUUAGUGGGGACAAACCACGACAAUUCACGUCAUUCCACUUGAACACUUGUGUUCUUAUCUCCCCCUAACGGCGGGAAUAUUAUCUCAUCAAAGUGACAAUCCACAAUUUAACGGUGAAUGAGAUCGCCUGACAAGGUUCCUACAUAUGCGGAUUAUAGGUGGCGGUUCAUAUCCAACCUAAAUUUAUUCAUCUCAAAUGACCUAUCAUUGUACGCAGUGGCAGUGCGAUUUGGCACCUAGAAAUAACAUCUAGCCGAGCUCAAGGAUUGGAGAUCCGUUUCAAUCCUACCGAGCUCAAGGAUUGCAAUUUCUUGUCAAUCCUGGUACACAGUCACGAGCUGUAGUACAACAAAAUUCAAUGAUGGUGGGUCGUAAAUGAAUAGUAAAGCUGCAUGCAAAUAUUGCGUAGCCCCAAGACGCAAUAGAAAGAGUGGUGCGCAUCAAUAAUGUUCGAGCGACAAGCUAAAGUUGCUUGGUCGUAGCCUCGGUGAGACCGUAUUGCGUGUGAACAUGGGGUACAGGACACUUCAACUUACAUCCCGAUGAACUUCUUUAAAGAAUGGGUAGUGAGCCCGUAGAAGUAUAAGCAGCAUAAACAGUAGAUAAUAGUGUAACACGUGACCAGUGUGUUAACACUUCAACUAACACCAUAAAGCAUAAAAAGGUGUCCGCAAGUUGGUUGUAUCUAUCUACAUAGUUUGAUGUAAGAAUAGAAUGUUCACUUUUGUGUUAUUUAGCGUAGGAAUGUCUCACUCCUUAUUUAGCUAAAGAAUAGGCUUUCAAAACGAGCAAUGAGCAUUGCAGGGGGCCAAUGCGACAUCGAGGAAAGGCCGGUGCACCUCAAUUGCUUGAGGAAUUGACCGGACGACCUCCAGGAAGUUGGAGUCGUGUUCGGGUGACGUCAAUGUCCCCCGAGUCACCACCAUGCUUCAUGGUGAUGCUAGAUCUCGAAUGUCUUCGUUUUUGAGUCGGAAGAAUGGAUGUCCAUGAGAAUUUCUCAAAAUUUGGACCAUUAUAUC
rnacentral:lncRNA from 1 species